ensembl:lncRNA
ACACAGAGGGAAGAUUCUGUGACGACACAUGGAAAAGACAGCUAUCGACCAGCCAAGAAGAGAGACCUGAGACAAAACCAAUCCUGCUGAUAUUUUGAUCUUGAACUGCUAACCUCCAAAACUGCACAGUGGAUUGAAGCGGGGCUGUCAGUCACUUGGUGUUUGAGGACUCCCAUUGUAAAUCAGGGAUUCUUGCAGCCUGCUUUUUCAGGGACGUUGGCUGCUGUCUUCUGACCCACCCUGUGUGACUUUGGCGUCUCCUGUGACCUCCCAGUAUGGGUCUUGGCUUCAUCCUGCCUCUUUGCCUUUCUGGCCCACCACCACCAACUUGAAUCUCAGGCUCCAACAGUUGCCUGACCCCCAGACUCUGAUGACAGCCUACCUACUUGUUCUUCAGACCCUGAGCAGACUCACUGCCCAGACACACCAUACACGAGAACAUGAAAGGGUAUUUGAGUUUGGGGCCAUGUCAUAGGAUGCACCUUGAAAUGAGCCACGACAUGUGCAGUCUAAUGGUCUCUGUUGAUCCAUUUGCUGUCUGUGAAACUCCAGAAGUCAGGUAAUUAACUAUUUCUUCUGCAAUACAGUGUCUUUAUACUUAACAGUUAUUCUAAUUCUUAUAACCAUUAACAUCUACAUCUGAGUCAUAAAGCAUUGAAAUGAACCCUUGGUUAUUGUAUUUUCAGCUAAUAAUUAAUGCUAUGCACCAUGUGAUCAUAAACCUGCUCUCCUUUUUUUGCAUUAAUUGGUAACCUGGUCCAACCAGACUCUUAACACGAUUGUCCCCGUGUGAGUUUAGUCAUUAUUUUGACUUCACUGAUUAUUGGCAUUUAUUACUUAAGAGCUAAGAAACAGCAACUAAUUGAACGUAUUAUGAAACAUGUUUCCUCCUGCCUUUUCCAGGGUGGGAGAGCAUGACUGCUUAAUGGGCCACUGCUUAUCCCCAUUCAAAUCCUGUGUGCAUUGACUUUGUAGGAUUGCACCUCAGAAGACUUCUCAUGUUUCGUUUCCCCACAUUUUCUGUGGACAAAUUUCCAUCAACUACAUAUACUGCUUUGCAGAAAUGAACAUCUCAAAAUCUGAGGAAGAGUAGAUAAUUUUAGGAAGGGUGACAGAAUGGGGAAAGCGGUAAACAGUAUCUGAAGAAGUAGAAAAUGACUUGAAUUUUAGAAUUGGGUUAUGGUGGCCAGGCGCGGUGGCUCAAACCUGUCAUCCCAGCACUUUGAAAGGCUGAGGUGGGUGGAUCGUUUGAGGUCAAGAGUUAUAGACCAGCCAUCUUGAUCAUGGGACCAGCCACAGUGCCUGCGUAUCCUUGAGUAGCAGGUUUCAAUUCCUGCCAGCCCAGAGACCAACAUGGUGAAACCCCGUCUCUACUAAAAAUACAAAAAUUAGCUGAGUGUGGUGGCACGUGCCUGUAUUCCCAGCUACUUGAGAGGCUGAGGCAGGAGAAUCACUUGAAUCUGGGAGGUGGAGGUUGCAGUGAGCCAAGUUGGCACCACUGUACUCCAGCCUGGGUGACAGAGGGAGACUCUGUUUUCCCCCACCCCAAAGCAAGAGUUUUAUGGCAUUUAGAAGUCCAUUUUGAAUGAUGUGGUAGAGUGGAAACCAGAUUACAAGCAGGUGAGAAGUGAAAAGAUGAUGAAAAAAAGAGAAAAUAGUAAUAAUAGAUUACUGGCUUCAGUAAAUUGACAGUGAAAGAAAGGGUGAGAAUGUGGUUUAGGAGAUGAGGCAACAUGAUCAUCUGAAGUUUUCUGUGUCCAAUUUUUAAGACAGAGGAAAUUGUGCAUAUUUGAAGGUAGUGGAAGAAUUGGCAGAAAGAAGGAACUUGAAAGCUGAGAUAAGAAGUUAGUAUUGGAAAGAUGGAGCCAAUACCUCCACAUCUGUGAAAAAAGAAAAGAAAAAAAA